AUCUUUUUUUUUUUAAGUGUCUAGUGCUUUCUGGGAACAGUCGGUGAGAAAAUACUGUGUGUUGGUACAUCCUAGAAUUAUCUGAAAGUUAAAAUAAACAAAAAGUUACAGGCAUGGCAUACAGUUUAAUAAUCAAUAUACAGAAAAAUAUAAAAAAAAAAAAUAAUGUAGCUCCCCGAACAGAAGGUUCUUCAGCUAACAGGGCUGAUAUAAUGCUCAGGACAUUGAGCAAAUGGUGAUUAGGAGUGCUGGAACUUUCUGGAAAUGAUAACAUUCAUCUGAUGCUAUCAUGUAGAAUGACAGUUAAGCCUUUCACUGGCCAUCUCCUCCCCACAACACAAGGUAUAGCAUAAAGUUGAAGUGACACCAUUUUCUUCCUACUGAGUUAUUACAUGUGGCUGUAUUACAGCAGCCAGCAAGGACAAGGCCGCAUGGUCAUAGGCACCCUCAUGGGCCUGAGGAGGUAGGUCGGCUCUCCCAGAACUGAAUCUCAUGGAAUUUAUCAAGGACCUUAAAAAAGUUCCUUCUCUGCUUCUACAAGUCAACAGCAAAACCACAAGUGACCUGUUUUUAAACUGGGCAACGAACCUAAGUGGUUCUGCAAAGAAAAUAUAUGUUUGCCAACAAGCAAAUGAAAAUGUUCAUCAGAAAUCAUCAAGUAAAUAAAAUGAGAUGCCUCUUCACAGCCUUUAGGGUAAUGUCUAUUUGGGGCUUGGUUUUUGUUUUUUUGUUUUUUUGUUUUUUGGGUUUUGUUUUGUUUUGUUUUGUUUUUUUGGUCUUUGUUUGGAGGACAGUGUCUUUCUAUGUCAUCGUGGCUGGCCUAGAAAUCACUUUGUAGACCAGGCUGGCCUCAAACUGACAGAGAUGUGCCUCUGCCUCUCUGCCUCUCUGCCUCUCUCUCUGCCUCUGCCUCUGCCUCCUGAGUAAUAGGAUUAAUAGAAUAUGCCACCAUGCCCAACCAAAGAUUUAUUUGUUGAUGUGUUUGUCUGCAUAUACAUCUAUAUACUCCAGAAGAAGGAAUCAGAUCCAAUGAUACUACAGUUAUAGGCAGUUGUAAGCAGCCAUCUGGGUACCUGGAAUUGAACUCAGGGCCUCUAGAAGAGCAGCUAAUGUUCUUAACUGCAGAACAAUCUCUCCAAUCCUAGGGUGACCAGUAUU
rnacentral:lncRNA from 1 species